AUUGAACGCUGGCGGCAGGCCUAACACAUGCAAGUCGAACGAGUGGCGGACGGGUGAGUAAUGUCUGGGAAACUGCCUGAUGGAGGGGGAUAACUACGGGAAACGGUGGCUAAUACCGCAUACCAUCAGAUGUGCCCAAAUGGGAUUAGCUGGUGGGUGGGGUAACGGCUGACCAAGGCGACGAUCCCUAGCUGGUCUGCGAGGAUGACCAGCCACACUGGAACGGAGACACGGCCCAGACUCCUACGGGAGGCAGCAGUGGGGAAUAUUGCACAAUGGGCGCAAGCCUGAUGCAGCCAUGCCGCGUGUAUGAAGAAGGCCUUCGGGUUGUAAAGUACUUUCAGCGGGGAGGCGUUACCCGCAGAAGAAGCACCGGCUAACUCCGUGCCAGCCGCCGCGGUAAUUC
rnacentral:rRNA from 1 species